CCUACGGGUGGCUGCAGUGGGGAAUAUUGGACAAUGGGCGAAAGCCUGAUCCAGCCAUGCCGCGUGUGUGAAGAAGGCCUUCGGGUUGUAAAGCACUUUCAGUGGGGAAGAAAGCCUUGGGGCUAAUACCCUCGAGGAAGGACAUCACCCACAGAAGAAGCACCGGCUAACUCCGUGCCAGCAGCCGCGGUAAUACGGAGGGUGCGAGCGUUAAUCGGAAUUACUGGGCGUAAAGCGCGCGUAGGCGGUCUGAUAAGCCGGUUGUGAAAGCCCCGGGCUCAACCUGGGAACGGCAUCCGGAACUGGCAGGCUAGAGUGGAGGAGAGGAAGGUAGAAUUCCCGGUGUAGCGGGGAAAUGCGUAGAGAUCGGGAGGAAUACCAGUGGCGAAGGCGGCCUUCUGGACUGACACUGACGCUGAGGUGCGAAAGCGUGGGUAGCAAACAGGAUUAGAUACCCCGGGUAGUC
rnacentral:rRNA from 1 species